GGGUGUAGGGAAGCAAAAAAAACAAAAAACAAAAAACAAAAAACACACCCAAAGCAAAAUCCUGCCUGAAUGCAGUGAAUUCAAACCGGUUCUGAAUUAAGCCUAGAGAAUCUAUUGAACACUAUUGAGAUACUGAGAUUCAGUGGAUCUUUUGCUUAAUUUGUGGUUUUUAGUCUUGCCAGCGAAGAGGAAAUCUGACUUCAAGACGAGUGCGGUCAACAUAAAUGGAAACUUGAAAGGUGCCAGUGUCAGAAACUAAUUUGAGGUCUCAGGACUGGGCAAGAAUUAGGCUGAGGGCGCGCGCACACCAGCGACCUGCAAGUAUGUCUGCAUAGGAAAACACAGUAUAUAUAAAGGCUCGGUACUACCCGUGGUUUGCAGCAUCUACUUGGGGUUUUGGAAGAUAUUUCCCUCAGGUCUGCAGUUUCCAGAAAUCAAGUAUUAAAAUUCGACAAAGCAGUGGAUGCUUGGCCGGCUCUGUCGGUGGAGUACGUGACCCUUGAUCUCAGGAUCAUGAGUUCAAGCCCCACACUGGGCGUGGAACCUACAUUAAAAACAAAACAACUAACACAUUCCUGGUUCUUACUUCUCUCACACACAGUAAUGAAGGCAACGGAUUAUAACCCAUGAGAUGGUACUAGAAUCCCUAAGUCCCCACUGAUAUGGACAAGUGGAUAAACAAAUGGAGGAGUAGGGACAGCUCUUCCUUACAGUCAAAAGCUAACUAGUAAGUGUAGAAUGAAUGAAGGAGUUGCAAAAAUCUCCCCGUGGCUCCCUAGUAACAGCUGUUUCUGGCAAGAAUUGUGUAUGGAUGCAAAAACUAGUGGAGAAAAGGAUUGAAAAAUGGAAUCUUUACAUAGUUCAAAAAUAUCACUAAUUGAUUACAAAACAAAAAACACCACAUUUCCAGCAGAGAAACCUGCAGCAUCCACCCCAGCCAGGCGGCCCUGGCCAACAGUACAGUGUUGGGGUGAGUCCAUACCGUGUGCCUCCUGAAAGGAUGCCCUGGGGGCAGCCCGGGUGGCUCAGCGGUUUAGCGCCGCCUUCGGCCCAGGGUGUGAUCCCUGAGACCCCGGAUUGAGUCCCACGUCAGGCUUCCCGCAUGGAGCCUGCUUCUCUCUGCCUGUGUCUCUGCCUCUCUGUGUGUGUCUCUCAUGUAUAAAUAAGUGAAAUAUUAAAAAAAAAAAAAAAAAAAAAAGGAUACCCUGGGAGGAACAUAACAGCACUCCUGCGGUUCUGCCAAGAAGGCCUCACCUGACAGGAAUAACGAGGCAACAUCAGAGAAACCCAAACUGGUAGACGUUCUACAAAAUACCUGGCCUGUGUUUUUCACAGGGGAAGGCUCACGAAGGCAAAAGGCUCAGGCACUGUCCCAGAUUGGAAACGAUUCAGCAGACACAACAACUAACUGUCGUGUAGGAUCGUGGAGCAGUAGGAAGAGAGCAGCGGGACAACUGGCAAGCUCCGAAUGGCUGAAGAGUCCAUUAUCUCUCAUGCACGUCAUCUUUAAGUGUUGACAACUGCAUUCUGUCAUAGUCUUAGGAAGGGCGUACUGAAGGAUUUAGAGGACAUCGUGUCUCUGCAGGUUACUUUCAAACAUUAGGAAAAGACUCAUGUCUUCCCAUCUGUGUGUGUGUGCGCGUGUGUGUGUGAAAACAGAGAGUCGGAGAGAAAGAAUGAUAAAGCAAGGAUAGUAAAAUGUUAACAUUUAGGGAAUCCAGGUGAAGAGUAUGCAGCUUUUUACUUGUUCUAUUUGUGCCAACUUUUUGGAAGUUGAAAUUAUUUUGAUAUAAAAAUUUCAGGGGCCCCUGGGUGGUUCAGUGGGUUAAGCAUCUGCUCAGGUCAUGAUCCCGGGGUCCCUGCUCAGAAAGGAGCCUGCUUGUCCCUCUCCCUCUCUCUCUCUCUUUCUCUCUCUCUCUCUCUCUCUCUCUCUCUCAUUCAAAUAAAUAAAUCUCUAAAAAAAUUUAAAUAUAAACCACGAAUUGUUUUAGCCUCUUUGUGGUGUCACUCUUAGUAAAGAAAUGGUCAAGGAGUUAAGUUUCCAGAUCUGAGCCCACAGGAGUUCCAUGGCCGAACCAUACUUCCAAGGGCAUUGUACGCCAUGCACUGAGCCCAGGGACAGGGGAGUACAAAGAAAUGGCCAGUCCAUUUAGUCGCUGGUGGAAAGACUUUUCACUCUGAGA